CAACCCUCAAGCACUGCUUGGUGUUGGAGCCGUAUAGUCGUUGGGCCAUACGCUCUGAAAAAUAGUGGCGGACUCUUCAAGACUCCGGGCGCAGUAGAGAUGCGACGCCUAGGAAGAUUGGGUGAGCUCCGGCCGUAAAACCCCCAUAUUUUACAA
rnacentral:misc_RNA from 1 species